CAAAGGCUUGGUCCUGACUUUACUGUCAACUUUAGCUAAACUUACACAUGCAAGUCUCUGCCCUCCUGUGAGGAUGCCCUGUAGUUCCUCUCCCUGGAACAAGGAGCUGGUAUCAGGCACACCACGUGUAGCCCAUAACACCUUGCUUAGCCACACCCCUAAGGGACCACAGCAGUGAUAAAUAUUAAGCAAUAAGUGAAAACUUGACUUAGUUAAGGCUUAUAAGGGCCGGUAAAACUCGUGCCAGCCACCGCGGUUAUACGAGAGGCCCAAGCUGACAGACCCUCGGCGUAAAGAGUGGUUAGAAUAAAAUUAAACUAAAGCCGAAUAUCUCCACAACUGUCAUACGUACUUGGAGAUUAGAAGAACUCCUACGAAAGUGGCUUUAUUCUUUUGAACCCACGGAAGCUAUGGUACAAACUGGGAUUAGAUACCCCACUAUGCAUAGCCUUAAACCUAGAUAACACUUUACAUCCGUUAUCCGCCCGGGAACUACGAGCACUAGCUUAAAACCCAAAGGACUUGGCGGUGCUUAAUAACCCCCUAGAGGAGCCUGUUCUAGAACCGAUAACCCUCGUUAAACCUCACCCCUUCUUGUUUAUCCCGCCUAUAUACCGCCGUCGUCAGCUUACCCUGUGAAGGUUUAAUAGUAAGCAAAAUUAGUAUAACCCAAAACGUCAGGUCGAGGUGUAGCAUAUGAAAGGGGAAGAAAUGGGCUACAUUUUCUAUCUAUAGAAAAUACGAAAAGUGUACUGAAAUGUAUAUUAGAAGGAGGAUUUAGUAGUAAGGAAGAAAUAGAGUGUCUUUCUGAAACUGGCCCUUAAGCGCGCACACACCGCCCGUCACUCUCUCCAAGCUAAAGUUUCUUAAAUAACUAAUGCACCUUACCAGCAAAGGGGAGGCAAGUCGUAACAUGGUAAGUGUACCGGAAGGUGCACUUGGAUAAAU
rnacentral:ncRNA from 1 species